CGUCAUUAAGGUUAGCUCCAACAUGUGUGUAGAAUUUGGACUCGAUCCGAUGUCUAAUUUUGGAUUUUUUUGGAUUUUUAAUUUUCCACGUCUAAUUUAGCUAAUAAACAAAUAUUCCAAACUCUACCGUUUCGUUGUCGAAGGUCGGAUCAAAAAACUGUCUCACGAUUCCUUUGCGUGUGCGUCUGAAGAUGUCGUGUGCAAAGUUUGGUGUCGAUUGGUCAAGAAAUGUGGGAGGAGUAUCGAAAAAGCAGUUUUGCGGUUUUCGCGAUUUUGCGAAAAAAAAUUAUAGACGCAAAUGGGCGUGGCCUAUGCCAAAAGAUGCAGCAGACUCCAGUGAAUCUGUGCGUACAAG
ensembl:lncRNA